GGGUGCGAUCAUACCAGCUUUAAUGCACCGGAUCCCAUCAGAACUCCGCAGUUAAGUGCACUUGGGAUAGAGUAGUACUGGGAUGGGUGACCUUCCGGGAAGUACUAGUGUUGCACCCU
rnacentral:rRNA from 1 species